GUUGGCAUGUCAUUAAAGUGGGUACAAAAGUUACAGCAAACCACCCAUACGCUGCUGCUUGGUGCACUGCCUAUGGGCCAGCCCAGCUCUGCAGGAUCAGUCAUAGAUUUGCGACGUUGCCACCACCUCAACGAAGCUGCUUUCUUCCACCACCAGGCUCACUCUUGAAUUUUUUCCUCAGUGAAGGCAAGAACUUGCAUCAUUGCUGAGCUAGCCAGGAGAGAAAAGAAGAUGGUGGCAAGAGAGAUGACAAGAGACACUGAGGCAAUUGGAGAUCAAAGCUACAGGAGCUGUCACUCUAGGGCUGUAACUUCAAAUAGCUGCUAAUGUGGAGGACAGCUGUCACAUUAACCAAAGGCUAUUUCAGAGACAUUAACUUUUCUGGCAGGCAGUGGAGCCCCGUGCACAGUCCAAAAACUGCCUUGUUCAACCUCAUAUUGGUCAAGAGGACUGGGAGUUCCUGCACCCCUGGCCUGAUGGAUGACUACACUACAGUGACAGAUAUGUGGCCACCUGAGUGAUUCUUUUUCAUCUUUUUUUCUACCAGGUAGAUUCCCUGGUACAUGAGCUUGGAAGCAUAUUCUCCUCAAGCCAAGCCUUAAGAAGUCUGUAGCCCCAGCCAACACCUGAUCACUACCAUAUGAGAUGUCUGGAAACAGACACCCAGCUAAGUUAUGCCUCAAUUCCUGACCCAGAGAGACUGAGAUAAUGGCUAUAUAUUGAGUUAAGCCACUAUAAUUCAGAUACAGCUAAUUUCUUAUACAGUAAUAGAGAGCUAAUAUGUAUG
rnacentral:lncRNA from 13 species